GCUACAAUUGAAGCAGUCGACACGAAGAACACAGAUGAAUGGAAAACGUGAACGAACAAUUGAUGGGUCGAAAGGGAGCACGAAGGUUCGUCGCUCGACUCGUAAUCGGUGAUGGCCUCCGGGGUUCAACUAUACUGAAGAAGGAGAAGGAUCGAAGCAGCGAGGCGGCUGUGACCUCGGACGAGAAGGAAGUGAGGAAUCAGCGGGGCUGCUCGUCUUCUGUCUUGGAAGUAGUUGCGGAGGGGAAAGAGAUCCGAAGGGGGUCUGGGAGGCGUCGCGAGCAACAGCAGCGACGAUGACGGGGUGUUCGGUGGGUUUGCUUGACAGGAGGGGAAGAGGAGGGUGCGAGGGUUCGGUCGUCGGUCUCGGUGGUGCUGCGAUGAGGCUAGUUGAGACUGGUGGUUUCGAGUUUUCAGUCGUAUGGGUGGUGGAGGGGAGUUCGAUCAUGGCUGUUUGUUGAUUCGGGAAAGGUAGCAACUAUCAACACAGGGGAAGAGAGGAUGGAUUCAAUGGUUUUUCUGCUGUGAAUUUGAUGGGAAGGAAGAAUACAUUUGUUCUUGGCUUGGAAUGAAGAUGCAUGUAAGAGUUUAAGUGUUGUUUGAUUGUUUGUGAAUCAGUAGUUGAUAAGUAGAAGCAAUACCACACGGUGUAUGAGCUGCAGUACAGGUGAAAGAAAAACGUGGGAAGGAAAGAAAAUAGUGGAGUGCAAGAAUUCAUUUCCCUUUUGAGUGUUUCUUUGUAUAAAAUGAAACUUGGAAGAAAUUAUUACCUUGGAUGUCAAUGUCAAAUUUGGUGUAUUUUUGGUUAAUCUUGUAAAGAUUCUAUUAGCUCAUUAAGUAUGUAUUUUAUGUG